GUGGGGAAUAUUGGGCAAUGGGCGCAAGCCUGACCCAGCAACGCCGCGUGAAGGAAGAAGGCUUUCGGGUUGUAAACUUCUUUUACCAGGGACGAAACAAAUGACGGUACCUGGUGAAUAAGCCACGGCUAACUACGUGCCAGCAGCCGCGGUAAUACGUAGGUGGCGAGCGUUAUCCGGAUUUAUUGGGUGUAAAGGGCGUGUAGGCGGGACAGCAAGUCAGAUGUGAAAACCAGAGGCUCAACCUCUGGCCUGCAUUUGAAACUGUUGUUCUUGAGUGUCGGGGAGGUAAUCGGAAUUCCGUGUGUAGCGGUGAAAUGCGUAGAUAUACGGAGGAACACCAGUGGCGAAGGCGGAAUACUGGACGAUAACUGACGCUGAGGCGCGAAAGCGUGGGGAGCAAACAGGAUUAGAUACCCGUGUAGUCC
rnacentral:rRNA from 1 species